CCGAGAGCUCUGGAAUGUGGAUGUGGGGGUUUUGUCCUUAUUUGGCUAGAGUUAAACGCUGACAUUAGUAUGAACACAUCUUUAUAGUAACAGAGGGACACGAGGUCACUCUCGGUCUUGGCUCUUAGCUCUCUUGGCUCGUGGCUCUUGGCUCUUGGCUCUGGCUCUCUCUCUCUCCAUGUAAAGAUGUAAGGAUUUAAAGAAGUCCAGCAAUUACCAUCUGCUGUUGAAUGUCCAC